GAGACUUUUCUCACCAUAAAUCUGAAAAUUUCCUGUUAGGUUUUAGCAUUCUUUACCAAUGUCUUAUGCUUCAGUCGAUAUGUCUUCGUGUACAAAAGAUUGUAAAUAUGAUGUAUUUUUGAGUUUUAGAGGUGAAGAUACACGCAAAACCUUUGUGAGUCAUCUCUAUGAUGCUCUGCACAGAAAAGGAAUUCAUGUUUUCAAGGAUGAUGAACGACUGGAAACUGGAAAAUCAAUUUCUGAUGAACUUUUAAAAGCCAUAGAACAGUCCAGAAUUGCGAUUGUCAUAUUCUCCAAAAGCUAUGCAUCCUCAACAUGGUGUUUAAAGGAGCUUGCACACAUCAUAAAAUGCCGAAAUGAAUUGGACCAGAAUGUGAUUCCAAUUUUUUAUGAUGUGAGUCCAUCAGAUGUACGCCAUCAAAACUCGCCAUUCGCGGAGGCAUUUUCCCAACACGGGGAAGAAUUUAAAGAUGAUGCGGAAAAGAUUAAAAAUUGGAAGGAUGCAUUUGUGAUUGCUGGAAAUAUAGCAGGGCAUGAUCUGAAAAGUUAUAAGGAUGAGGCUGAUUGUAUCAAAAAACUAAUUGAUGAUAUAUUUCAUAAGUCGCUUCAAGGUAUUUUACACUUUCCGGAAAACUUAGUGGGUAUGAAAUCUCAAAUUGAGGAAGUAAUCUCAUUAUUAGAUCUGGAAUCAAAUGAUGUUUGUUUUAUUGGGAUUUGGGGGAUGGGUGGCAUCGGCAAAACAGAAAUUGCAAGUUUUCUACAUCAGAGACUCCGUCAUCAAUUUGAAGCUGACUGUUUUCUUGGUGAUGUUGGAACAUUGUAUCAGAAAAAUGGACUGACAUGGCUAGAACAAGUAGUCAUCUCCAAGCUCUUGAGGGAAAAGAUGACUCUAACUAGUAAACAUGAAGGGAUGGAUAUUAUAAAGAGUAUGCUUCAUCGGAAGAAAGUUUUGUUCAUUCUCGAUAAUGUAAACCAUCAAGAACAAUUGGAAUGUUUAGUUGGUCGAGCAGAGUGGUUUGGUAGGGGUAGCAGAGUUAUUUUAACAGCAAGAGACAAGCACCUGUUAAUUAGUCAUAUUGGGGAUAACGUGUAUGAAGUCCAACUGUUACCUGAGAAUGAAGCUCUUGAAUUGUUCAGUAGGCAUGCUUUUAGAGAAAAAUCACCAAAGAAGGGUUUUAUGGAACUUUCAAGACAAGUGGUGGAGUAUGCUGGUGGACUCCCUUUAGCUCUUAAAGUUUUGGGCUCUUCUUUUUAUAAACGAGACAGAGAGCAAUGGAGAGACAGAAUUGAUCGACUGAAGAAAAUCCCUCACAGCGAUAUUUUGGGAAAACUUCGGAUUAGUUUUGAUGGACUAGACAAAGAGGAGAAGAGAAUGUUUCUAGAUAUUGCCUGCUUGUACAAUCAUGAAUCAAGAGAUUAUGUGGAACGAGUAUUUAAGAGUUGUGGCAUCCACUUGAUAGGAAUAGAUCAUCUUGUUGAAAAAUCUCUCUUAUCCAUCGAUAGAUAUCCUAGAAUUCUGAUGCAUAAUAUGAUUAGAAAAAUGGGUGAAAAUGUCGCAAGGGAAGAGUAUGCCAACAACAGAAUAUGGCUUCCCGAGGAGGUUCGUGACCUUUUUGCAGGAAAGAUGAAAGUAGAGAAAGUUGAAAGCAUGCGAACUUCAGAGUACCAAUAUUUUAAAGAUGAGGUGUUCAAGAAGAUGCAAAGCUUGCAGGUACUCAAAAUUGAUAAGAAAUAUAGUCUUGUCAAUCAUAGCACUAUCACUUAUCUUCCCUCUAGCUUGCGGUGGAUUGAUUGGGAGAACUAUCGUUCAAGUUCAUUGCCAGAGAAUUUCAAACCAUUAGAUCUCGUUGGGCUUUCUUUAGUAGCUGGUAGUCUUGUCAAACUUUGGCCAAUAUCAAAGAAAUUGAGCAACUUGAAGUAUUUGGAUCUAAGCGACAACCUUGGGUUAACAAAAACCCCUAAUUUUGGUGAUAUUCCAAACUUGGAGACACUAAUUUUAAAGUGGUGUAAGAAUUUGGAAGAAGUUCAUCCAUCUCUUGGACAUUGCAGAAUGCUCACUAUUCUACAUUUAAAGGGUUGUGGCAAACUCAAGAAGCUCCCAAAAUUUGUUUCCAUGGAAUCUCUUGAGACUCUGAACCUUGGAGAAUGCACAAGUUUAGAAAAGUUUCCAAAGAUCUGUGGAGAUAUGCGGAACUUAUCAAAACUCUAUGUAGGAUCCCCUUGGAUAAGAAGCUUGCCCCUGGCUCUCUGUGGCUUAAGCUAUUUGAAUUUGAAAGAUUGUAUAGAUCUUGAAUGUAUUCCAAACACUAUUCAAAAUCUUGAAUCUCUCUGGAUUUCAGGUUGCAAUACAAUUGCAACACUGCCGAACAGCCUCUUUAAAUCAGAGAAAUUAGAGAAACUUGUAAUAGCACAUUGUUCUAGAUUGGCAGAGCUCCCCAUCUCUCUUGGAGCUCAUAAGAAGCUUCUUCGAUUAGACUUGCUCGGAUGUGAAAACCUAAAGAAGCUUCCAAACUCCAUUCAGAUGGAAUCCCUUGUAGAUCUUCAUAUACUUAAUUGCCCAAAAUUAGAUACAUUUUCAGAAAUUAAUGGAGAUAUGUAUAGCUUAUCAGAAUUGUCCCUACAAUCUGCUAGGAUUACAGAACUGCCUUCAUCAAUCGGGAAUCUAAGUGCACUCAAAUUGCUCUCUCUGGUAGGUUGUGAACAUCUUGCAAGUCUACCAAAAAGCCUCUGUAAUUUGAAUAACCUUCGAUGGCUUCGUCUCCGCGGCUGCAACAUACUAGAGAACCUUCCAGAAAACAUUGGUGAUCUGCAAGAGUUGGAGGAACUAGAUGCAAGAGAAACUGCAAUCUCCCAACUGCCUCUCUCCACCACGAAGCUGGGAAAACUGAACACAUUAAAAUUCUCACAUAAACAUUCCUCAAGUUUCGUCUUGUAUCAAGUGUCAGGCUUAUCCUCCUUGACACGGCUUCAUCUCAGUAAUUGCAACAUAUUGGGUGGACUUCCCGAGGAUCUUGGAUCUUUGCACUCUUUGGAAUACUUGAUUGUUAAGAAAAACAAUAUUUCUUGUUUACCUAAAAGCAUCAAGAAGCUCUUAUGCCUCAAAUACCUGAACGUGCAAUUUUGUGAGAGUCUUAAUGAACUACCAAGAGAGCUACCCCCUAAUUUAGAGUUGCUAUAUGCAGAUUAUCAUUUAGCCUUGAAGAGCAUAAGAGACCUACUAAUUAAUUGUUUUAAAUUGAACCUGAUCUUGACAUCAUGGUGUGGUCAUGAAAAAUCUCGAUGCGGAACUAUCUCAACUAACCAAGUUGAUGUGUUGAAGUGCGUACAGCAUUUUCUCAGGGCAUGCAUCCAGUGCCACUUCCACCAAAGGACAUAUUUUUGCAUUUCUUUUCCUGAAGGCAGAGUUCCAGAGUCAUUUGGUUAUCAAUUUAUAAAUCAAAGUAGGAUCUCAAUUAACCUGAACCCAUCUUGGUAUACCGACAAAUUCAUGGGUUUUUCGAUAUGUUGCUAUUCUAAUGGAUGGAAAGCUGGUGUAGAAGCUACUUUGAUCUGCAUAUCUGACCCCGAAAGAAAACAUUCCUUGAAGUGUGACAUUGACCACCAUCGGCUCAAUAGUCUUGCUCCUUCUGUCAUCUUUUUCUACAUACCAUUUAAAACAUGGUGGCUUGCAUCUGACAAUAAAGUAGGGAAGAGCCCACUUGAUUAUUGCCUAUUUGAGGUAUGUACAAUGUCAAGGAGGAAAGCAUAUUGGGGAGUUCGCCUGGAGUAUGAGAAUAAAGUUAGGAGAUGGAGAAGGAAGCACCUAGCAAUGCGAAGUUCCAAGCUCUUUGAAGUUCCGCAAAAAGAUAAUGCAAUGAUGACUGAAAUUGGCUGCUCUGUGGUAUUUGAACAACUAGAGCCGUCAUCCAUUUCUAGUCACUUGCAAGAGUCUAUUGACCAUAACUUCACUACAGAAAGGGGACUUCAUUUUGGGUUUGAAAAUAAAGCUCUAGUGCUGAAUCAAGCAACAAAGGCAGUUCAAAGCGAACAUGAAUCUCAGAAUGUUGAGUUGAUUAGAAUUUGUGAUAGCCCAUUUAGGAAAAUGGUUGGUGCUUCAAGAAAGAGAAAGAGAAAGGAGAAACAAAAAGAGAAAAACAACCUCAAAUCAAUCAAAACUUUUCUGGUCAACAACAGGGACAAAUAAAACUAGGUGCUCUCAUUGUGACAACUAGCAUGAUUUUGAUUGGAUCAUGAGGAACUUCUUUGCUAGCAAAAAGGGUCACUCAAAGAAGAUAGUCACUAAGCAUCUAUUCAAUUUGAUUUUCAGAGCAGAGAGAAGAUAUUGUGGAGCAAUUACUCAACAUCAAAUCCGGGUGCUAGAAGCUAUGCAAGUUUGUUGCUCCUCUAAUUCUUCAUUUUCUUUCUUGAUUCUUUCGGCCUCUGCUUCUAUGUCUCUUUCAUUCUCAGGUUACAGACCAUUUUUACUUUAUCAAUUUUUUCCCUUUAAAAUUUUAUAGUAGUAGGUGAAGUGGAUAUCAUUCAAAAGAUCUUGGGCAAAACCUUAGAAAACGAUACUACCAUUUGUAUGGAAUAUACUAUUUUAGAUAAAUAUGUGUUUUUUAAUGUUGGUGCUACGUGUCUCAGGGUAUAUUUGAUCAGAUGAAGAAAAGGGAACUUUUC